rnacentral:rRNA from 1 species
UACGUAGGGUGCAAGCGUUGUCCGGAAUUAUUGGGCGUAAAGAGCUCGUAGGCGGCUUGUCGCGUCGGCUGUGAAAACUCGGGGCUCAACCCCGAGCCUGCAGUCGAUACGGGCAGGCUAGAGUCCGGCAGGGGAGACUGGAAUUCCUGGUGUAGCGGUGAAAUGCGCAGAUAUCAGGAGGAACACCAAUAGCGAAGGCAGCUCGCUGGGACGGUACUGACGCUAAGGCGCGAAAGCGUGGGGAGCGAACAGG